GCGGGCGUAGCCAAGCGGCCCAAGGCGGCGGACUGCAGAUCCGUUCAUCAUCGGUUCAAAUCCGAUCGCCCGCUCCA
rnacentral:tRNA from 1 species